rnacentral:rRNA from 1 species
CAGCAGCCGCGGUAAUACGAAGGGGGCUAGCGUUGUUCGGAAUUACUGGGCGUAAAGCGCACGUAGGCGGACUUUUAAGUCAGGGGUGAAAUCCCGGGGCUCAACCUCGGAACUGCCUUUGAUACUGGAAGUCUUGAGUGUGGAAGAGGUAAGUGGAAUUGCGAGUGUAGAGGUGAAAUUCGUAGAUAUUCGCAGGAACACCAGUGGCGAAGGCGGCUUACUGGUCCACAACUGACGCUGAGGUGCGAAAGCGUGGGGAGCAAACAGGAUUAGAUACCCGCGUAGUCCCUGUCUCUUAUAC